rnacentral:sRNA from 1 species
ACACAGAGGCCGGCUUGGUCACUAUGGAGGAGAUAGGCAUCUUGGUGGAGAAGGCUCAGGAUGAGAUCCCAGCACUGUCCGUGUCCCGGCCCCAGACCGGCCUGUCCUUCCUGGGCCCUGAGCCUGAGGACCUGGAGGACCUGUACAGCCGCUACAAGAAGCUGCAGCAAGAGCUGGAGUUCCUGGAGGUGCAGGAGGAAUACAUCAAAGAUGAGCAAAAGAACCUGAAAAAGGAAUUUCUCCAUGCCCAGGAGGAGGUGAAGCGAAUCCAAAGCAUCCCGCUGGUCAUCGGACAAUUUCUGGAGGCUGUGGAUCAGAAUACAGCCAUCGUGGGCUCUACCACAGGCUCCAACUAUUAUGUGCGCAUCCUGAGCACCAUCGAUCGGGAGCUGCUCAAGCCCAAUGCCUCAGUGGCCCUCCACAAGCACAGCAAUGCACUGGUGGACGUGCUGCCCCCCGAAGCCGACAGCAGCAUCAUGAUGCUCACCUCAGACCAGAAGCCAGAUGUGAUGUACGCGGACAUCGGAGGCAUGGACAUCCAGAAGCAGGAGGUGCGGGAGGCCGUGGAGCUCCCGCUCACGCAUUUCGAGCUCUACAAGCAGAUCGGCAUCGAUCCCCCCCGAGGCGUCCUCAUGUAUGGCCCACCUGGCUGCGGGAAGACCAUGUUGGCAAAGGCGGUGGCACAUCACACAACAGCUGCAUUCAUCCGGGUCGUGGGCUCGGAGUUUGUACAGAAGUAUCUAGGUGAGGGCCCCCGCAUGGUCCGGGAUGUGUUCCGCCUGGCCAAGGAGAAUGCACCUGCCAUCAUCUUCAUAGACGAGAUUGAUGCCAUUGCCACCAAGAGAUUCGAUGCUCAGACAGGGGCCGACAGGGAGGUUCAGAGGAUCCUGCUGGAGCUGCUGAAUCAGAUGGAUGGAUUUGAUCAGAAUGUCAAUGUCAAGGUAAUCAUGGCCACAAACAGAGCAGACACCCUGGAUCCGGCCCUGCUACGGCCAGGACGGCUGGACCGUAAAAUUGAAUUUCCACUUCCUGACCGCCGCCAGAAGAGAUUGAUUUUCUCCACUAUCACUAGCAAGAUGAACCUCUCUGAGGAGGUUGACUUGGAAGACUGUAUCCUGCUCCAGAAGUCAGGGAGGGGCCCUAGUUGGGAACGGGGAUUAGAUCUUCAGCUCAACUUCUGCCAUCACCACAGCCCAGACUGUGCAGGUGGGACCAAGGUCCAGGGAGGAGGGGAGGUGACAGAGAUGGCCAAAGAUGACUUCCAGCCCCAGGCAUUUACCCCAUCACACAGGGAAUAGUUUCCUUAACUCGCUGCAGAUGUGGCCCGGCCAGAUAAGAUUUCAGGAGCUGAUAUCAACUCCAUCUGUCAGGAGAGUGGAAUGUUGGCUGUCCGUGAAAACCGCUACAUUGUCCUGGCCAAGGACUUCGAGAAAGCAUACAAGACUGUCAUCAAGAAGGACGAGCAGGAGCAUGAGUUUUACAAGUGACCCUUCCCUUCCCUCCACCACACCACUCAGGGGCUGGGGCUUCUCUCGCACCCCCAGCACCUCUGUCCCAAAACCUCAUUCCCUUUUUUCUUUACCCAGGAUUGGUUUCUUCAAUAAAUAGAUAAGAUCGAAUCCA